GCGUAGAGAUGUGGAGGAACACCAGUGGCGAAGGCGACUCUCUGGUCUGUAACUGACGCUGAGGCGCGAAAGCGUGGGGAGCGAACAGGAUUAGAUACCCUGGUAGUCCACGCCGUAAACGAUGAGUGCUAGGUGUUAGGGGGUUUCCGCCCCUUAGUGCUGAAGUUAACGCAUUAAGCACUCCGCCUGGGGAGUACGGCCGCAAGGCUGAAACUCAAAAGAAUUGACGGGGGCCCGCACAAGCGGUGGAGCAUGUGGUUUAAUUCGACGCAACGCGAAGAACCUUACCAGGUCUUGACAUCCUCUGCAAUCGGUAGAGAUACCGAGUUCCCUUCGGGGACAGAGUGACAGGUGGUGCAUGGUUGUCGUCAGCUCGUGUCGUGAGAUGUUGGGUUAAGUCCCGCAACGAGCGCAACCCUUGAUCUUAGUUGCCAGCAUUUAGUUGGGCACUCUAAGGUGACUGCCGGUGACAAACCGGAGGAAGGUGGGGAUGACGUCAAAUCAUCAUGCCCCUUAUGACCUGGGCUACACACGUGCUACAAUGGAUGGAACAAAGGGAAGCAAAACCGCGAGGUCAAGCAAAUCCCAUAAAACCAUUCUCAGUUCGGAUUGCAGGCUGCAAC
rnacentral:rRNA from 1 species